rnacentral:lncRNA from 1 species
AGGAUUCACGAGGGGAAAUGAAGAAUACGGUGAGUUCUCUUGGGUCAGCGCCUUACUGCUAAAAAGAGGGCAGCAGUAUUUCUCUCCCCCAGCCCUCGAAGCCAGUGGGGUUCCAGGAUUGGUGACCCCUGGCGCCACCCUCACCCCCAUCAGCGUUUGGAUGCCUUCCUCUAGGUCCUUUAGGAGGUCAUAGACGUUGCUGUCAGAGGCGCCGUACACCAGGCUGUUGGCGAAGACACUCCUGAGGAACUGCACGGGCUCCAGCCACGACUGGAUGAGCAGCAGGGAGAUGCGGAGCAGCUCUAGGUUCUGCAGGGGAAGGACGGGCAUUGGCUGUGCUGCCCGGGGGCUCUGACUACAGGUCUCCCCCAUCCCCGCCUGGGGAGAAGGCAUCCACUCACGGAUUUCUGUUGUGUUUCCUCCCUGGAGGUCUGGGGGUUCUGCAGGAAUGAAUACUUCUGUUCCUUUGGGAUAUAGGCUUCUUCCUAGGAGAAGGACCGCCCA